rnacentral:lncRNA from 13 species
AGCCGACAAGGUGCUGUGGAAGAGUUUGAUCAGGGAGAGACACGACGUGAUGGACAUUUAAAAAUGGCACUGAUGGUAGAAGCUUGAGGAUGUUUAAAUGCUGCUGAGAAAGUCCAUCCAGAGGAAGAGCUGAAAAUCAAAGAAAGAAGGGAUACAAUGGGAAGUCGGCAGUCUGCAACACAGAAGAGAGCCCUAACCAGAACAUGAUCAUGCUGGACCUCUGAUCUUGGAUUCUCAGUCUUCAGAAGUGUGCUGAUACAGCAUGAUCAGGCCCUGGCAGGCAAGGGAGCCCUUAGAGGAAGCAGUCAAUGAGCAAGCUGAAGACGUGGUUGCUGUGAGGGUUGGAUAUGAGCACAACAGGCAAAUGGCUUCGAGAGGUCUGACACUCAGCAAGAGCAGACUGAUUGCUGAUUAUGAAGGUCUCCACUGCUGCAGGAGAUGGGCCAUCAUGGGGCUCUGAUCAGGGGAUAUCGCGAUUAAAUUUGUGCUUCAAAAAUCUGUAGUCUGGCAGUAUAUUGGAGAAUGGAUUGUGGGAAGGAUGCUGGGACUCAACACAGAGAGAUCCUUACAGAAACUUAUAUUACAGCCUUCUCAAUGGAAAAGGGAAGGACCUAUGGCAGUGAGUGGCUAAGACAAAGAAG